AACGAACGCUGGCGGCAGGCCUAACACAUGCAAGUCGAGCGCCCUUUCGGGGGAGCGGCGGCCGGGUGAGUAACGCGUGGGAAUAUGCCCUUCUCUACGGAAUAGCCUCGGGAAACUGAGAGUAAUACCGUAUACGCCCUGUGGGGGAAAGAUUUAUCGGGGAAGGAUUAGCCCGCGUUGGAUUAGGUAGUUGGUGGGGUAAUGGCCUACCAAGCCGACGAUCCAUAGCUGGUUUGAGAGGAUGAUCAGCCACACUGGGACUGAGACACGGCCCAGACUCCUACGGGAGGCAGCAGUGGGGAAUCUUAGACAAUGGGGGCAACCCUGAUCUAGCCAUGCCGCGUGAGUGAUGAAGGCCUUAGGGUUGUAAAGCGCUUGCAGCUGGGAAGAUAAUGACGGUACCAGCAGAAGAAGCCCCGGCUAACUCCGUG
rnacentral:rRNA from 1 species